GGCUGUGGACUGCUUGGCCCAUGGUGUUUAGAAGUCCAGGUUGGGCCACUUCUUGUCAGUUGAGGGAGGAGUCAAAUGAAACCCCAGAAGAGGAAACUUUCUAUUGACACCUGCAAGUAAAAAGCCAGGACCUGCUGGAACAGCCAGCCCAUGACCCAGAGGGGCCAUAGCAUGAGUCCACAGGAAUCUGUCCUGGAAGGAGGGGUGCUGAACCAACCACUAGAUCAUAAGGGGUAGGGACCCCAUAGUAUGAUAGUCCUUUGUUUCUCUGAUUAUGUUUCACUAUAGCUACUCCUUUGUCAUCCAGCCGUCUAAACACCUAGUAGCCCUAACAAUACUGGUGACUUCUGCGUUGAUUGUCACCCACCCUGCCUCACUUUAUUUGAAUCACUCAUCAUUGAUUCACUUUAUUGUUGUUGACUCUGAUCGGUCUAGCAAGAUCAUUAGUACCAUACCCACCAGGGUAUUGGUUGGCUGCCUCCUGCAUACCCCGCAUUGGGGAUUGAGUCUGCAAACCAGGCAUGUGGCCCGAACCACAACCUCAUGGUUCAUAGGUUGAGGAUCAACCACUGAGCCACACCGACUUGGUGAGCAAUAGAAACUUUAAGAAAGAACCAAACGUAAAUUCUAGAACUGAAUGAUGCAGUAUGUGAAAUUUAAAAAAUUACUGAAAGGGCUUAAUAGAAGAAUGGAGAUGGCAGAAGAAAGAGUCAGUGACCUUGAAGAUAAAUAGAAAUUAUUCAAUCUGAAGAACAGAGGAAGGCAAUUUUUUUAACUGAGUAGAAACUCAGGAAUAGUGGAACAAUAUAUAAAAAACCCCCUCUAAUAUGCAUGUUCUUGGAGUGCUAGAAGGAGAGAAGAGAAUGAGGCAGAAAAAAUAUUUGAAGAAAUAAUGGCUGGAAAUUUCCCAGCUGUUGAAAAAGACAUCUAUCUUCAGGUUUAAGAAGUUCAAUAAAUUCAAAGCAGAACUAAAAAUAAACAAAAGAGCACACAUGGGCCCAUCAAAGUCACAUUGCUAAAAACUAAAGAUAAAAAGAAAAUCUUGAAGGCAUCCAGAGAAAAAGAACACAUCGCAAUCACAGAACCGCAUUUUCAAUGUCACUGCUUUCUCAUCAAAACCAGCAGACCAGAAAGCAGUGGAACAAUUUCUUCAAAACAUUGGAGGGAAAAAGCGUCAACUCAGUGUUGCUUUCCCAGCAAAAAUAUUCAUCAAGAAAGAAGAUGAAAUAAAAGCAUCUUCAGAUAGAAAGAAAACUUAGAAAACUUGUCAUCAGCAGACCUGCAUUAAGAGAGACGCUGAACUUCUUCAGGCUGAAGGGAAAGAAAUCCAGAUGGAAGAACAGAGUCGCUGGAUGGAUAAAGAGAAAUGGGCGUGACCAGAGGCUACGCGAGCUAAUGUGAGCCCAUAAUGAGCCAAGGCUACAUCUGCUCUAUGCAUGGGUCCCCAAAUAUAGGUUAAGAGGAUUGAAUAAAAGAAAUAAAGGGAACAAUCUAUAAAAUUGUAAGUACACAAUGUUCGCAAAAAUAGAAACAAGAGAACAAUCUAAAACAACUGUGACCGGCCCAGCCGGCAAGGAUCAGUAGUUGAGCAUCAACCCAUGAACCAGGAAGUCAAGGUUUGAUUUCCGAUCAGGGCAUAUGCCC